UCUUUCGCUCUCUUCAGCUCUCAAUCUUUCUUAACUUAAUAAAACACCCUGAAAUUGAAAUCGUGUGUCUGUUAUCGUUUUUUUGAGGUUUAUAUCUUUUGAUUACGUGAAGUCUUUUGUUCCUCUUGGAAUGGAUGAAGAGAUUAUACAGCAUAAGAGUGAAAAGAAGAAGCGCAAGAGAAGCAAGGAGAAAGAGGCUUUGAGCUCUCCUGAAGUGCCUACAGAGAAGAAGAAGAAGAAGAGGACCAAAUUGGGUCCGAAUAUUGAAAUUAUGAAUGCGAAUAUUGGAGAUGUUGAAACAAGAAACAAUUUUUGAAGCACAUUUGAGGAACUUGGAUUCCAAAAGAUCAUCCAAAAGAGUAAAAUUUACAUGUCAUGUAGAAGUCUUCCCUUCAUCUGAUGACAAAGAUGGUCGGGACGAAACCCCAGAAAAUAAGUUGGUUCGAGGUAAGUGGUUCACGAAGAAAGAAGAUCAAAUAAUCAAAGAUGCUGUUCACAAGGUACAUGAAUCGGGUGAGGACGGCUUGGAUAUGAUUCUGCACUGCGGGAAACAUUGAAAUAUAAGAGGAUGUUGGAAGGAAAUAGGGACUGCCUUACUGUAUAGGCCCUGGGAAGCAGCAUGCCAUAGGACGUACUUUGAAUGCAACUCAAAUAAGUCUAAUCCAAUUACUGGAGUUGCAGACUUGUUAGACUGGAUGCUUGCUGUGUUGAAGAUGUUGACUAGGAUAAUCUUCUUGAGCAUAGGUCUGGAGAUGUUACUCUGAAACGUUGGAGACAGAUGGUAAAUCACUCUGGGACGCAUGGACUGCAAUCCUUCGCAGAACAAGUAGAAGUACUCGCCAAACACCAUCGUCCUGAGCUACUUGAAGUCAGAGAAGCUCUUGACAGCAGACCACCGUUGUUGAUUGAGGUGUGGAUGUGGGAGCUGCGGGCUCGGCAGAGAGGUUGCCUAGAAGGUCAAGCCCUGAACAAAAAGACUACUCAGAAACACUAAAUUGGUGCUUAAAAAUAUUUAUCUGAUUCUCAUAGUUCCAAGUUCUGAAGUAGUUAUGUACUUGGUGAGGCAAUUAAAUGUUCAUAGUUGAAACAAUUGUGGUCCAACACUGAAAAACUGUCAAUGAACAAAAUUUGCACUUC